GGAUCGGGCGGAAACCUGUGGGAAGGUUUCCAGGUAUGGAUCCGAACCCCCGUUUCGAACGGCGUGCAGGCCGGUGCCCCGGCGGCCCCGCGC
rfam:Rhodobacterales bacterium HTCC2654 1099457000270 genomic scaffold, whole genome shotgun sequence.